rnacentral:misc_RNA from 1 species
AGCAGCCGCGGUAAUUCCAGCUCCAAUAGCGUAUAUUAAAGUUGUUGCAGUUAAAAAGCUCGUAGUUGAAUUUCGGGAUCAGUUGAUCGGUCGUGCCUCGGUACGUACUGGUCAAAUUGAUUCCUACCUUCUGACGAACCACGAUGUCAUUAAUUUGGUGUCGUGGGAAAUCAGGACUGUUACUUUGAAAAAAUUAGAGUGUUUAAAGCAGGCUCGCGCUUGAAUACAUUAGCAUGGAAUAAUGAAAUAGGACGUUUGAUUCUAUUUUGUUGGUUUCUAGGAUCGACGUAAUGAUUAAUAGGGAUAGUUGGGGGCAUUAGUAUUCAAUUGUCAGAGGUGAAAUUCUUGGAUUUAUUGAAGACUAACUACUGCGAAAGCAUUUGCCAAGGAUGUUUUCAUUAAUCAAGAACGAAAGUUAGGGGAUCGAAGACGAUCAGAUACCGUCGUAGUCUUAACCAUAAACUAUGCCGACUAGGGAUCGGAUGAUGUUAAUUUUUUCAAUGACUCAUUCGGCGCCUUA